UAGCUACAACUAUCGCCGAAAUGGAGGGGCGAGAAGGUGUAGGAGGAGAAGGGGAGCAGGUGGAUAAGAAAAUGAAGAGGAACCGUGGCCAAUCGAGGCGCAAACCGCGGCCGAUCGAGGCGGCGGAUGAGCAAGAUAGGGGAGACAAAAAUAGUGAGGGGCAAAAUGGUCAUUUUGUCAUCACAGUUCACACCGUACCUCUGUGUAUAUUUUUUAUUUUAUAAGGGAGCAAAGGGUAGGUUUUUAAAUGAUAGGGGACAAAAUGAAAAAUCAAAUUUUGACAGGAAGGUUUUAUGUAAUUUAGCCUUAUUAAUUAUUACAUGUAUAAGUCACUAAAUUUAAUUUAAAUUUAAUCGCUAUUUAGCACAAAAAAAAUAGAAAAUUAAAAAC
rnacentral:lncRNA from 1 species